rnacentral:rRNA from 1 species
GCCUACGACCAUAUCACCCUGAAUGCGCCCGAUCUCGUCUGAUCUCGGAAGCUAAGCAUGGUCGAGCCUGGUUAGUACUUGGAUGGGAGACUGCCUGGGAAUCCUAGGUGUUGUAGGAU